AGUCUUACUAAUAAGUGAUCUGCAAAAUUCCUUACAUGACUAAAUAUCAUUAAGACUU
rnacentral:tRNA from 1 species